rnacentral:rRNA from 1 species
UGUGCAAGUCAUUGGGAUUAUAUUUUAAUUAAACCCAAAGGCAUAAUUAACUUAAAUAUUAAAUGAGAUAAGUUUAUAAUCUAUUUAUAGAUUAUUAAUUCAAUCCCGGGGCGUUCUAUAUAGUUAUGUAUAAUAAUAUUUAUAUUAUUUAUACCUCUAACUGGAGCGUACCUUGAGCAUAUAUGCUGUGACCCGAAAGAUGGUGAUCUAUACUUGAUCAGGUUGAAGUCAGGGGAAACCCUGAUGGAAGACCGAAACAGUUCUGACGUGCAAAUCGAUUGUCAGAAUUGAGUAUAGCUGCGUAAGACUCAUCGAACCAUCUAGUAGCUGGUUCCCUCCGAAGUUUCUCUCAGGAUAGCUGUUGCAUUUUAAUAUUAUAUAAAAUAUUCCUAUCUGGUAAAGCGAAUGAUUAGAGGCCUUAGGGUCGAAACGACCUUAACCUAUUCUCAAACUUUAAAUGGGUAAGAACCUCACCUUUCUUGAUAUGAAGGUUGAGGUUAUGAUAUAAUGUGCCCAGUGGGCCACUUUUGGUAAGCAGAACUGGCGCUGUGGGAUGAACCAAACGUUAUGUUACGGUGCCAAAAUUAACAACUCAUGCAGAUACCAUGAAAGGCGUUAGUUGCUAAAAACAGCAUGACGGUGGACAUGGAAGUCGUAAUCCGCUAAGGAGUGUGUAACAACUCACAUGCCGAAGCAACUAGCCCUUAAAAUGGAUGGCGCUUAAGUUGUAUACCUAUACAUUACCGCUAAAGUAAAUGAUUUAUAUUCAAUUUCGGUUGAAUUUUAAAUUUUGAAACUUUAGUGAGUAGGAGGGUACAAUGGUGUGCAUAGAAGUGUUUGGCGUGAGCCUGCAUGGAGCCGCCAUUGGUACAGAUCUUGGUGGUAGUAGCAAAUAAUCGAAUGAGACCUUGGAGGACUGAAGUGGAGAAGGGUUUCGUGUGAACAGUGGUUGAUCACGAGUUAGUCGGUCCUAAGUUCAAGGCGAAAGCCGAAAAUUUUCAAGUUAUAAUUGAAAACUUUUAUAUAAUAUUUUUAUAUAUUUGAAAAUUUAUUUAAACACUUGAUUAUUUUUGAACGAAAGGGAAUACGGUUCCAAUUCCGUAACCUGUUGAGUAUCCGUUUGUUAUUAAAAAUGGGCCUUGUGCUCAUCCUGGUAACAGAAACGACCAUAAAGAAGCCGUCGAGAGAUAUCGGAAGAGUUUUCUUUUCUGUUUUAUAGUCGUACUACCAUGGAAGUCUUUCGAAGAGAGAUAUGGUAGAUGGACUAGAAGAGCAUGACAUUUACUGUUGUGUCGAUAUUUUCUCCUCGGACCUUGAAAAUUUAUGGCGGGGUCACGCAAACUUCUCAACAGGCCGUACCGAUAUCCGCAGCUGGUCUCCAAGGUGAAGAGUCUCUAGUCGAUAGAAUAAUGUAGGUAAGGGAAGUCGGCAAAUUAGAUCCGUAACUUCGGGAUAAGGAUUGGCUCUGAAGAUUGAGAUAGUCGGGCUUGAUUGGGAAGCAAUAACAUGGUUUAUGUACUCGUUCUGGAUAAAUAAAGAUUUUCGGAUCUUGUUCCCCGGAUAGUAGUUACGUAACCAAUUGUGGAACUUUCUUGCUAAAAUUUUUAAGGAAUUAUCGAAAGAUAUAUUCUUUUUUAAUUAUAACGAUUAUCAAUUAACAAUCAAUUCAGAACUGGCACGGACUUGGGGAAUCCGACUGUCUAAUUAAAACAAAGCAUUGUGAUGGCCCCAGCGGGUGUUGACACAAUGUGAUUUCUGCCCAGUGCUCUGAAUGUCAACGUGAAGAAAUUCAAAUAAGCGCGGGUCAACGGCGGGAGUAACUAUGACUCUCUUAAGGUAGCCAAAUGCCUCGUCAUCCAACUAGUGACGCGCAUGAAUGGAUUAACGAGAUUCCUUCUGUCCCUAUCUACUAUCUAGCGAAACCACAGCCAAGGGAACGGGCUUGGAAUAAUUAGCGGGGAAAGAAGACCCUUUUGAGCUUGACUCUAGUCUGGCAGUGUAAGGAGACAUAAGAGGUGUAGCAUAAGUGGGAGAUAUUUGAAUUUAUUUUCAUUUAUCGCCAAUGAAAUACCACUACUCUUAUUGUUUCCUUACUUACUUGAUUAAAUGGAACGUGUAUCAUUUCCUAGCCAUUAUACGGAUAUAUUUAUAUAUCUUAUGGUAUUAGGUUUUGAUGCAAGCUUCUUGAUCAAAAUAUCAAGAGUUUGUUAUAUAAUUGUAAACAAGUUUAAAUGAAAUUUUAGCAUCAUUUCGAUGUUAUCAUUAUAAUUGAGAUUUGGUAUAACUCCAAUACUCAGGUAUGAUCCAAUUCAAGGACAUUGCCAGGUGGGGAGUUUGACUGGGGCGGUACAUCUCUCAAAUAAUAACGGAGGUGUCCCAAGGCCAGCUCAGUGCGGACAGAAACCACACAUAGAGCAAAAGGGCAAAUGCUGACUUGAUCUCGGUGUUCAGUACACACAGAGACAGCUAAAGCUCGGCCUAUCGAUCCUUUUGGUUUAAAGAGUUUUUAACAAGAGGUGUCAGAAAAGUUACCAUAGGGAUAACUGGCUUGUGGCGGCCAAGCGUUCAUAGCGACGUCGCUUUUUGAUCCUUUGAUGUCGGCUCUUCCUAUCAUUGUGAAGCAAAAUUCACCAAGCGUUGGAUUGUUCACCCAUGCAAGGGAACGUGAGCUGGGUUUAGACCGUCGUGAGACAGGUUAGUUUUAUCCUACUAAUGACAAUAUUGUUGUUGCGACAGCAUUCCUGCGUAGUACGAGAGGAACCGCAGGUACGGACCAAUGGCACAAUACUUGUUCGAGCGAACAGUGGUAUGACGCUACGUCCGUUGGAUUAUGCCUGAACGCCUCUAAGGUCGUAUCCGUGCUGGACUGCAAUGAUAAAAAUGGGGCAAUUGCAUUGUAUGGCUUCUAAAUCAUUUAAAGUUUAUAUUAAUUUAUAAACGGCAAUGAAUGUGAUGCCAAUGUUAUUAGUAACAUAGCAAAUUCGGGAGGAUUAAUUAUCACCUGAAUGCCGCGCUAGUUACUUAUUAAAACAUUAUUUAAUACAAUGGCAAUGCCUAGAAUCAAUUGUAAACGACUUUUGUAACGGGCA